UUGCUCACUUCAGCAGCACGUACACUAAAAUUGGAAUGAUACAGAGAGAACUGGCCUGGCUCCUGUGCAAGAUGACAUGCAAAUUCGUGAUGUUCGUAAUAAAUAA
ensembl:snRNA U6 U6 spliceosomal RNA